rnacentral:piRNA from 1 species
UGUCAAGCUGACAUAAAACUAGCCGGC